rnacentral:rRNA from 1 species
ACGAUGCAUAGCCGACCUGAGAGGGUGAUCGGCCACAUUGGGACUGAGACACGGCCCAAACUCCUACGGGAGGCAGCAGUAGGGAAUCUUCCACAAUGGACGAAAGUCUGAUGGAGCACCGCCGCGUGAGUGAUGAAGGUUUUCGGAUCGUAAAACUCUGUUGUAAGGGAAGAACAAGUACGUUAGGAAAUGAACGUACCUUGACGGUACCUUAUUAGAAAGCCACGGCUAACUACGUGCCAGCAGCCGCGGUAAUACGUAGGUGGCAAGCGUUGUCCGGAUUUAUUGGGCGUAAAGCGCGCGCAGGUGGUUUCUUAAGUCUGAUGUGAAAGCCCACGGCUCAACCGUGGAGGGUCAUUGGAAACUGGGGAACUUGAGUGCAGAAGAGGAUAGUGGAAUUCCAAGUGUAGCGGUGAAAUGCGUAGAGAUUUGGAGGAACACCAGUGGCGAAGGCGACUGUCUGGUCUGUAACUGACACUGAGGCGCGAAAGCGUGGGGAGCAAACAGGAUUAGAUACCCUGGUAGUCCACGCCGUAAACGAUGAGUGCUAAGUGUUAGGGGGUUUCCGCCCCUUAGUGCUGCAGCUAACGCAUUAAGCACUCCGCCUGGGGAGUACGAUCGCAAGGUUGAAACUCAAAGGAAUUGACGGGGGCCCGCACAAGCGGUGGAGCAUGUGGUUUAAUUCGAAGCAACGCGAAGAACCUUACCAGGUCUUGACAUCCCAGUGACCGCUCUAAAAAUAGAGUUUUCCCUUCGGGGACAUUGGUGACAGGUGGUGCAUGGUUGUCGUCAGCUCGUGUCGUGAGAUGUUGGGUUAAGUCCCGCAACGAGCGCAACCCUUAAUCUUAGUUGCCAUCAUUUAGUUGGGCACUCUAAGGUGACUGCCGGUGACAAACCGGAGGAAGGUGGGGAUGACGUCAAAUCAUCAUGCCCCUUAUGACCUGGGCUACACACGUGCUACAAUGGACGGUACAAAGAGUCGCUAACUCGCGAGAGCACGCUAAUCUCAUAAAACCGUUCUCAGUUCAGAUUGUAGGCUGCAACUCGCCUACAUGAA